UGCCCAAUUAUUUCCCUUCCUUUUAUGAGGCUUUAACAGUGUUGUCUACAUCGAAUUGGUGUUUAUAAAGAGGGUCAGCGUGCAUUUUAGAUAGGGGUCAUGCAUUCUGUAGUAGGGCAGGAGACGCCUGGCACAUUUAAAUGCAUGGUGUGAGAUAAAUGUGUGGAUGGCCCAGGCUUAUCAGUAUAUCACAUUGAAUUUCUUCAAGUGGCUGGUUGAGGGCUGUCGGACAUAAAAACACGUCCAAAAGGCUACAAGAGAUGAGGCGAAUUCUUCUAGCGCCACUCCUUCUGCUAAUAUUAAAACAGCUAGCGUUUCCUCCAUGUUCCCAGGGAUGACACCUCACUUAGCCAUCUACCCUCCUGCUAUGUGAUGUAAACGAUACCAUGAACUGCUUUCUGGCAUUGGAUGUUGAAACAUUAUACACACACACAUAAAGAGAGAGACUUAGCAUCUCAGAAUAGCAACUCCACAACACUCGGUAAUUGCCUCCUAUGCAGCUGGAGGCAUGUUAAAUGGUGGACACUGAAAAAAAUAAAAAUAAAAAUAAAGAGCAUGUAAAGUGGGUAAAAUUUAAAUCAGCCCAUGCAGGGGAAGCUUCUCCUGGACGUUUAUCAGUCAUGUCCUCAUCAGUCGAAGCUCAUCUGAGUCCAGGCUAAAGCCUCGAAGCAGAAGUGGAAACUGGGCCGAACGCCUAUCGCGAGUGUUUGUUAUCUGUGCUUACUAUCCUCAUGCUGGGUCCUGCAGGGUGCUGGUAUGAAUGUGAAGGACCAAAAGAGAAAUUUAAAAGAUUAAAGUGUGCUUUCUGUAUUUCUGUAUUUAUUAUUACUGAAAUAACACUAAUAAAACACAAUGAAAGUAUUACUUAAUAAAUAAAAUCGACUUAGCACUACUGGUACUUUUAAAGAGGGCGGACUUAAAGACCUCUGUAUUUAAAAUUAGCAUUAAGAAAAUUGGGCUCAUUUAAGCUUUUAGUUGUUCAGUUCACAAGAAUUAGACCCUUUGAAUACAACCCUAAGGCUACGUUUACACUAGUCAGAGAGUGUGUGGAGACUGAAAAUAUGUCUGUGCUAAACUUUCACUUAUCCUCCAAAUCCCACAUAAAAUCGGAGAAUUUAUUAGUCAUUGGCUAAUAUUAGACAUCAUUUAGUAGCCUAGGUAAAGAUUUAGUCGCAGAUGCGAGUGAUUUACUUGCAAUGUAGAGGGUUGCUUUGACCUCUAGUGCUCAAGUAUAUACACAAGCAUUCUUAAACAAGAGGCAUCAUCAUGCAAGUGAUGAGUUUCAAAGAAACAGAGAUGGACAGGAGGCAGUGUCAUCCUCUGUGAGGGUUUCCAGCCUAACCACCUUAUAUAGACCAUUGCUGCUGUGCAAUCUGAUGCCACUCACUAAAAUUUUCAAAAGAAAAUGGGCGAAGCGCGGCGCCAGUUAUUCUGCCACAGUGAUUUUACAUCCCUGGUACAAGGAGGCAUCUAAUCCAGAACAGCGGCAUGUUUCCCAUGAUCUCGGCGUGGGAUUGCAGGGUUCAUGUAAACCAGUGCUCACAUAAUCUUAUUAUAAUGAGUUUUACACUGAUGCAUAAUCUGUAGAGCCUUUUCUAAAAUAACUCGCAGCACUGAGAAAGAGGUCACGCUUUAAUGUACACAAUGAGAGCAAAACAAUAGUUGUCUAACUCUUAGUUAGGAGAUGAUGUGCAAAGCCUGCUCAUCACGAAAACAGAGGUCAUUAGGAAGCCACGCUUGACGCACACCCAAACAUCUAUUCUAAGUGACAAACUCCCAGGCAUGUUUAGAGCACAGACUAAUUUUACCCACUUCUCAUCUGACCUGACCCUUCACUGUGAGACAUUUCUGUAAUUGUCUGAUGAACCCUCAGGAGUGGAAGAGUUCCGGAGAACAUAUGUGCUGUGUAUCGAUGCACGUUACGAGAGAAUAAAACCAGCAUGCAAGUGAAAAAAAAUUACAGCAUACACAUUUGGGAAUAACAUAAGGACAAACGAGGCCUAAAACUUUCAUUACAUGAACUUGAAUAUUGCUCACAGAAACAGUAAGACUUUAAAUCAGGUUUGUGAGAGUGAGUAUAAGAAGAUUGGCUCUUGAGAAGCUAUAAGUCUGGGUGUGAUUAUAACAACUCUUCUCAUCCUAACAUCAGAAUCGGGCCUCUUCACUCCUGAAUAAUGAGAUCUGAUAAUCUGCAGCCCAAGCUGCUCUCCCGCUGGGCCAAACCAGACAGAAAAUACCAAGCCAAAUGAGGGGGCCACUGGGGCGAAUGCAACACCUCCACACUGAAGCGACAACAUCAGCCGACCCAUGUGGAUGAAGCAAGCAAUAAGAAGCAAGUUUGAGUUGUAAAAUGUAGUGCGCUGCCUAAAGAGACUGCAUUUUUGCUCCAAAAUGCAUUCUAUGUAGGCAGCACACAGGUAAUGAGACACAGCCAUUUUUACUCAAAGUGAGUCAAGGUGACCUGGUCCCACUCCCAGCACACACUCACAGAGAGCUCCAGGAAUAGUUUCUGCAUCACUAACAGUUUAAAGAUUAUUUUCUGAUGCAAUAGUCGUUGAGCUGAUAUGAAAUCAUAUAUACUAGAGCUGAUGCAAAGACUUGAGUUAUUGGAAAGUUCACAGUCAGAAGUUUGGACAGACUUGACUGAAUGAUUUCAUCUUUAUCCUUAUAUUUUAAAAAAAUUUAAGAAAUUUUACUUAAUGUAAAUGCUUGAAGGAACUAGUUUUAUAGGCAAAUAUAAAUCUUGUGUUUUUUUGGCUAGAGAGAAGAGGCCAUAAUACGCUUGUGAUAAUUUUGCUGCCGAUAUAAAACAGGAUUUUAUUGUACCUUUUUGUGUUAAUUUCAUUUAAAGCAAUAAGUGAUCACUGUAUCUAUAGAUAAUUAUUUUUUAUAACCAUAUUGAUUUUGCUGUAGACUUUUAUGUGCUCAGUAACAACAGCUUUUUUUACCCAGAUCAUGCCUUUUUCGUGGUGAAAAAUGCAAAUAAAUAUUUAAAUAUAUACUGAAUAUUGGAGAAAGUGAAGGAAAAGCAAUCAACAAGUGUCAGGCAUACUUUCAAACUCUAAUAUGGUUUAAAAAGCAUCCUAAAGAAAUUACUUGUAAGAUCAUUUCCAUUUGUUUAUCAUUUUGUAGACGGUAUAUAGGCUACUUCCUUUACUUUGUUUUGUGUUAUUUCAUUACUUUAACUUUAUGGUUAUACAAAAUGUGGAUAAUAAUACAAAAAACUGUAGGUGUGUCCAAACUUUUGACUCAUGUUUUCCAAAACCAAAUACUAAAAAUGCAUAUACUAGUGCUUUACAACUUGCUUAAUAAUAUAGUUUAGAGGUAUAAAAUGCUCAAUACCAAACUGUUUGAAACGGAAUAAAAAUGAGCUAAACCUGUAAUUAGGAAAAGAACGUUAACACAACACCUGUGCCUGUAUUGUUUUUUGACAUAUAACAACAAUCUCUCUCAAUUCCUCACAGGAACACAAGAGACCAAACGACAAAGCGUCAAAGUAAAGUUAAAUCCUGACUUUCCGGUCAAACAUGUCAGCAACUCGCAAAGCGAAAGCACAACAAAUGUACAACAAUACCAGUUUUGUUUCUAUGAAAUUGUAUUUAGACGUGGGCGUCUCUUAAUGACUAGGAAACACAGCUAAAGUUUAUUAGAAACGGUUCAAAAAGUAAAUUAUUUGGAAUAAAGUUGACAGGAGAGUGCUGCCCUGAGGGAAACUCAACAGGUGAAGCUCACAGCGAAGCAUUCCACCCAGUAUCCGUGAAUAAACCUUAUUAUCACAGACAAAAUGAAUAUACACUAUGUGUGUUAAAACAUUUUCAUAUUCUAACGCUUAAGUUUUAUUCCACAAAGAAAUAAAAAAAACUGUUUCGGAAAAAUUAUAACGUUACAUGACAUUCCUCAAGGCAGCGAU